UACUGUGUAUACAUAGUG
rnacentral:snRNA from 1 species